GCCUUUGUGGUGUAAUGGUCAGCACACUUGAUGCGUAUUCAAGAAGUCAGAGGUUAGAGUCCCGGCAAGGGCA
rfam:Stegodyphus mimosarum contig30358, whole genome shotgun sequence.